CCCUUAGAUGUUCUGGGCUGCACGCGCGCUACACUGACGCACGCAACAGGUGCCUGCUCCGAGAGGACUGGGUAAUCAUUUGAGUGUGCGUCGUGAUGGGGAUAGAAUAUUGUAAUUAUUACUCUUCAACGAGGAAUUCCUAGUAAGCGCCAGUCAGCAGCUUGCGCUGAUUACGUCCCUGCCCUUUGUACACACCGCCCGUCGCUCCUACCGAUGGGUGAUCCGGUGAAUGAUUCGGACUUCAGCGGCUCCCCUGGGGUGCGCCGGAGAAAGUUUUGUGAGCCUUAUCGCUUGGAGGAAGGAGAAGUCGUAACA
rnacentral:rRNA from 1 species